rnacentral:lncRNA from 1 species
ACUGAUUAUAAAUACAUUGGUGUAUGUGUGUGGAGGGGGGGGAGGGGUUAGAUCCUGAAUUACAUAAACUUGGGCUAACAACAGGCCCAAUGCAUUACUCAAGAUAAGCUGUUUUGGGGAAAUAAGAGCUGAUGAAAGUUGGGCUCGAGAUUGAGCCCAAAUGAAGGACGGAAAUAGCUGAAGCCAAACGAAACUGGCCACAGCCUAGGUGGUCCCAUUUGGGCCAACUCCAAACCCCAAAUGCUUUGGCGAUGAUAAUUCAAACAUUAAGGUCCUAAUGAGGCCCUACUGACUAUAAUUGACAUAUAACAACAUGAUAUGCAUGUUCCAAAAAAUCACAACACCUAAACAACCAUAUUAUGCACUUUUAAUUCAUUAUUUUACUAUUAAUGUUAGCAGCAUACAUCUGGUAUUUAAAACUACUCAUUAAUUAUACUGAAUUUACAUGUACAACUAUCCUAACAAUACUGAGAUUCUAAGCAAUUAAAUUAAAAGUGUACAACAGUCAGAUAACACCCUUUCAAACGUACAUGAUACGUGAAUCAAGCAUCCCUUAGAUACGUAUAAAAACAAUCCACUUCCAAACACACACUAGUGGCCUUUUAGUAUGCUAAUUCAACAGUAAGAGUCCUCAAAAUGCCAAAGGCCUUACUUCACAAUCAUUUUUGUGUCCCUUUGUUCAUAAACAACAGUUGCAACCUUUUGUUCAAAUCACAGCUAUUAAAAGGAACAUAGAUGCUUAAGACCAGAUCCUAAACCAGACUUAAAGGUGGGAAACAAACAGUGAGAGAAAUGAGAAGAAACACAUAAAAGAAAGCUAAAACUAAUAAAGAGGCUAGAUGAACUUAAAAGAAACAUGUGAAUAAAAUUAAAAGGGCAACAUUUGUCAUUAGAUCUUCACAUUUCAAUUACAUAUUUCAAAUGGAAUACAUGCUUGCACUUCAGUGAUCAUUCAUGGUCCAAGAAGUACCUGGAUAUCAAAACAAAGCAAAAGGGAGUGAGGAUUUCAGCAAGAACAGAAGUAUGAGCAAAGCAGCAAGUCAACAUCAAUAUUCAGCCUCUUUAGACUAUCUUUACACCCAGAAAUCCAGAAAUCCCAAGAAAGUUUUAAGUUCUUACUAAAAGAGAAAUCAGGGAACAAUUCCAACCAAUUUUCAAUGAAAGUAAUGCAGAAACUUUUUUGUAUUUUCCAGGGUUCUGAAUCUCUGCCUAAGGAGUGAGGGAGGGGUCCUACUUAUAGGCAAC